GAUGAACGCUGGUGGCGUGCCUAAUACAUGCAAGUCGAGCGAACAGAUAAGGAGCUUGCUCCUUUGACGUUAGCGGCGGACGGGUGAGUAACACGUGGGUAACCUACCUAUAAGACUGGGAUAACUCCGGGAAACCGGAGCUAAUACCGGAUAACAUUUGGAACCGCAUGGUUCUAAAGUGAAAGAUGGUUUUGCUAUCACUUAUAGAUGGACCCGCGCCGUAUUAGCUAGUUGGUAAGGUAACGGCUUACCAAGGCGACGAUACGUAGCCGACCUGAGAGGGUGAUCGGCCACACUGGAACUGAGACACGGUCCAGACUCCUACGGGAGGCAGCAGUAGGGAAUCUUCCGCAAUGGGCGAAAGCCUGACGGAGCAACGCCGCGUGAGUGAUGAAGGGUUUCGGCUCGUAAAACUCUGUUAUUAGGGAAGAACAAAUGUGUAAGUAACUGUGCACGUCUUGACGGUACCUAAUCAGAAAGCCACGGCUAACUACGUG
rnacentral:rRNA from 1 species